GACAGAGGAGCCAAGCGUUGUCCGGAGUGACUGGGCGUAAAGCGCACGCAGGUGGUUCUGUGCGUGGGGUGUGAAAGCUCUCGGCUCAACUGAGAGAGGCCACCUCAUACGGCAGAGCUCGAGCCCUGCAGAGGUCCACGGAAUUGCCGGUGUAGUGGUGAAAUGCGUAGAGAUCGGCAGGAACACCCGUGGCGAAGGCGGUUCUCUGGGACGGUACUGACGCUGAGACGCGAAAGCGUGGGGAGCGAACAGG
rnacentral:rRNA from 1 species